CCCAGACAGAAGCAUGGAUGGAUGCUCCUGAGGAUCCAGAUGGGACAAGACUCUGUUGGGGAUCCGACUAGGGAACAUUUGUACUGCAUUCUGACAAUUCUUUGUCUAAAUUCUACCCACGCCCUGAAAAUUUGAGUGAGGAUGAACAUAAAGGGAGAAGUCAAACUGGUGCCUCACUAGAAGCUUCACACCUACUGGGUAGUAUUCAUGGUUCUGUGUGGUGCUCAGCAUGCUCCUGGAAGAGAAAGGUCUUACAAGUCUACACAGAAGAGGAGGCAGAAAGAUUGCAAGAGCCAGACGUGAUGAAUGACUCCACAAUCAUCUGAGAGAACAGAAAGGUGAUGAUCAAUCUUCCAUACAGAGAGGAGUGUAGUCCUUGCUCAGAGAGACUUCAAGACGCUUUCCUUUCUUUAUCUGUUGGUUAAAGAGGAGGCUUUCAAUUUCCUUCAGUCAGAAUUGGCUGGAAUCCCUGCAUCACAGGGAGCUUAGUUUGAAAUUGCCACAUAUCCUAGAGAACCUGUGUGACUAUAACACAGCCUUUUCAAGGACCAAAGAUAUUAGGUAUAUAAAUCCAUGAAAUACCAGUACUUCUUUCACAUUUACAUUUUAUAUCUCUGAAUACU